rnacentral:lncRNA from 7 species
UUGCCUUGCUACUUGAUGAGAUGUGUGAGAUGCAGCACUUCUCCUUCAAGAUUUAAGAUACCGUUCUUCUGGAGGAAAACACUGAAAGCAGUCCUAGAUGUACAUUUUGUUUUAAUCUCCUUUUUCCAAAACGGUGUGGGAGAAACUUUUCUUAGUGGCUAUGAUACAGUUGUUGGGGUGCACCUGUUGAAUGCAAGUUUCAAGGGCAGCUACCAGGUCUCAGGACUUCGGAACUUGUUCUUCUAAAUCUUCCUUCUCUGUGAUUUUGAAGAAUCAUAAAAUAGCAUCAAUAAAUUCAUAUUCUACUUAGAAAAUGGAUUAAAGUCACCUACGUAACUUGGUUGAAAGGAGGCGGUGAUAUGCUGCCCUAGUGCUGACUUGUAGCAGAAGAACUAAAAGUUUUUGGACCGUCAGCAGCAGCAAGAAAUCACAGAGCUGUAUUUACAGAGGCCAUUAAUUGUCCAGACUGUUGGGUAACAAAUUCUGAUAAACACGGAUCAGGAUAUGGUUCUUGAAUUAUGCAGAGGAUAAUUUCACAAUCCAGAAAACAGAGAAUUCAAGCAUAGAAAAAGCCAUACAAAACAUCUUAUUGCCAGCUGGGGAGGAAUUUGCAAUGAUGUCAGAAUUACAGGAAAGUUCAGCGCUAGUGACACUGGUCUGCUGGAUCACUCUGUGUGAUAAGGAACAGCUUUAGACAGUGGUCACAAUUACAGUUACAUACUCCACAAAGUAACUGACAUUAUGGCAAAAUGGGCCAUAGCAAUUAGAGGAAAGCUGUGAUAAAGCUAAGUGGACAGAAGCCUGCAAAUGUCUUAGUGAAAACUACUGUAAAACAUGUCGCUACAUGGGUGAUAGAUUUCAAUAUAUAAAAAAAAAGGGACUUAGGAAACGAUGAGCAGAUGCAGCAAUGGAGAAAAGAAAUGGCACUAUGGUGGAAAUAGGCUGGAACAUUCCAAAUGAUACAUAAUUAAAGCACAACAGAUCUUAGCUCCUCUUGAAAAAGGAAUAUUGUCCCUUUCUCGGGAAGUUAACUGUUUGGUAGAGGACCACAAGCGAGCCCAGUACUGCUGCUCUUUACUGUAAUCAGGUUAAAGGGCUGUCACUUACCUCUGAAAUGGGAGCUCAAGUGAUAUCUGUCAACCUUUGGAAGUUUUGCUGGAUCAGGAGUUACUUAUUAGCUGCUGCUGAAGUCAAGCACAGAGCACAGACAAUCAUCAAAAACACAGGGAGUGAAGACUUGUCAGGGCAAAUGAGCAGUUUGGGCUUUUUUUCUCUCAGCCAGCUGUGGUGAGCCACACUGAGUAUCUAAGAUAAAACAUCAGGAGAAAGAUAUUGUAACUUUAUUGGGGGAAAAAGGUGAGAUAGAGAUGACCUGAAAUAGAAGACGUGAAUGAAGAAUCGAUCAAGGAAAAUAAAAUAAAUUGGAAAAAAAAAAAUAGAAUACUGUGAAAAGGAAUGCAAUGUAUGUCACACUUAAAAGCCCAGAUUUGUCUCCUCUGCAUUAUUAACCUCCAUCUUCCUUCAAGACCACAGUUAUGUAGAUCAGUGAUAGCUGAGUAUUCGCAGCUCACGUAAACCAGUCAAACAUGAACACAUACAACAGUGUCAAGGCCCUCACAAAACAGAAAUACCAGCAAAUAGAAAUACCUCAGGAGACGGAAGGAGCAGGAGGAUCUCAGGGAAAGCAUUACACUCAACACACAACCAGUGUACACAGUAUACUUUGCCAAAACUGGAGAAGUGUACGCUUAGCGUCAGCAUGAAUUAUGGGAAGGGAUUUCUUGGACUUUUCAUUUUGGAUCAGUGUUUGGAAAAUAACCAUAAACUGUAUAUUGACUUUAAAAUGGCUUACCAACAGGAAAAUAUUAGAACUGAUCCUGAAGCGUUCAAGGCUUUCCGAUUGCAACAUCAUGAAAUUCAAAGCCAUCUGCAACAACAAAAGAACCCAUUAGUGACCAAACAGCGCUGUUGGAUGAAGACUGUUAUUAUGAAGAAGGGUUACACUUACAAUUCAAGGUUCAUUACAAGCUGGUCUCUCAACUCUCUUCUAAAAUUUUCGUCAUGAGAAAUGCUUUUGUGAUUUCAUCUUGGUAAGAAUUAUCCUUUUAUACUUU